GGCUGUAGCUCAGUGGUACAGUGCUCACCUGGCACGUGAAAGGCACAGGGUUCAAUCCUCAGCACGACA
rnacentral:tRNA from 1 species